UUUGAGGUUAAUAAAAAGUUGUUUAGCUUCUUAGCACAAAAGAUUGAGAAAAGUCAGGUGGAAUAAUAUGUGCAUUCCAAAAGAACAAUCUGCAGAUGCAUUCAUCAUGGAAGACAAAGCCUUUAAAGGUGUGUGAAUUUGGUAUUGACUUGAAUGAAGGAUGUUAGAGCCUGGGAUGCUGAGGCAUGCUUUUGGGAUUAGAACUGCAGAAGCCCCACCUCUGCUUCAAAUAUAAUAGCAAUAAAUGUGCUUUUGCAUAGGCAGUAUAUUUGAAGAAAUAAAGAUUAUUAUGUGGCUAAUAA
rnacentral:lncRNA from 1 species